GGUGAGGCGGUGAGGUACAGACAGCUGACAGCUGAACUUAUAGGGAGUAAAACGCGUGUCAUUAUGCUCUGAGUUUAGGCUACUACCACGAACUGCACGGCGAUUUUGAAUCAUAUAUGACUUUAUGUCGCUUAGACUAUUAUACAGUAAAAUAUAUAUGUCAUGCUCAGAGCGGUGCGUUAAUUUUAUUAGGCUACAUACGUCGAAGUUUGUAGUCUGCGCAUACAUGUGUAUUAUGCUCCUGUAAAGUAAUUACGCCAGCCAUGUUCACAAACCGAUGGUGGGAAGGAGGCUCGUGCUAGGGUGCAUAGGGGGGCAACAAAAAAGAGGCCAUAUUUUCGCACUGUUUUGGUUCUGAUGGUUGAUGAGGUGUGAAACUGAUGAUUGUGGGGGUCAGAGAGCCACAAUGGCAUUCCAGGGCCAUUGUUUUUGACAGAUGGGCCAUAAGCAGUGGCAAUCACAGGUGUGUUUACACCUAUCACCAGAAUUGAUUGUGUAGGGACACUGGUUUUGGAGAGGACUAAACACCUAUGUUUACAAGGUCCAAAAUAUUGGCCAGAAAUAUUUAAAUAUACCGGUAUGUGUUUUUAACAAAAGUCUGAGCAAUUUUUGCACGGGUAUGUUUACAUUUGAUUUAUAUACAAAUACUUUACUACAUUCCUUUUAUUAUCAUGUUAUUUUUGCUGAGGUUUUCUAGAAUAUAACCAUAUAUGGCACUUUUGCAUGAAUGUUUUUAGUUAGGUGAAAUAAACAACUGAUCUGAUUAUGACUAAUCUAGAGUUUGGUGAUCAAUGGGCAUUCAUUAUUAACAACAGUGACCGGUUAUUAUAACAUGUGCAUUGCUUUGUGACUCUUGCAGCUUCAAAAAUGACAAAGUUCCAUUCACGCGCUCAAGUGAUUCAGAUGCUCUAUGACAGCGAUGAGGAAUCCGACAGCCUCAGUGAAUGCCUUUCAGAUGACCCUUCACGUGGAGCUAGCAUGGAUUCCUUUGAAUGGAUGUGUUUUGAGGAACGACUGGACCCUCUCCUCGACUUUGUUUCUUCUGAGGCUCCAAUGAGUGCACCUGUCCCCUCCCCUCUCCCCACACACCGCAGCUCCCCUGACCUGCCAGGUCCCUCAAGCCUUCUUCUAUCUCCAAGGCGGACAAGUACCAGAAAGAGUGCGAGACUAUCCGCCAAGAGGAGUGUAAGCCAAUCCCUCAAGAGGAGUGCGAGCCAAUCCUUCAAGAAGAGAGCACCCACACGAACGGCUAUGGCUUCAAAAAUGAAGACAUAUUCACCCGCUCAAGUGAUUCAGAUGCUCAAUGACAGCGAUGAGGAAUCGUCUGACCUGCCAGGUCCCUCAAGCCUUUCUCCAUCUCCAAGGAGGACAAGUACCAGAAAGAGUGCGAGACUAUCCGUCAAGAAGAGUGCAAAACCAUCAGUGAAAAACAGCCGUCUGUAGAAACCAGCUUUAUUAGGCUGAAAAAUCUCUACGGCAGGUGUCACUGCCUUACGCCAUGUUUUUGCACAGAACAAACCUGUGUUGCAUGCUGUGUCUGGGAGACUGUUGCUAACUUGGUUGAUGGUUGAUGCUGGACAGUAUUGUUUUAAGUUAUUAUUUUCUUUAUUCUUUAGCUUGUUCAGUUGCUUAGUUUCACUGGCUCUGAUGCUGCUGCCCCAAGUAAAAGUAUAUAUUUUUGUACCUGUAUCUGUAGGUCGCCCCUAGCCCACCGUAAGUUUAUGACUUGGGGGGGGGGGGGGGCACAAUGUAGUACGCCACUCUGUAUUCAUUACUGUUCAUUUAACCAAGUGUGCCACUGGUUUUGUUCCGUUUAAUAAAGUUGAGUUCCCUAACCUCCA
ensembl:lncRNA